AAUCACUUAGCUUAUUAUUCAGGUGGCAUUUUCAUCAACAAACAAAUAAAUGGAAAACAGGAUAUUUUUCUCAUUAGAGCUAGUUGGGUUGCUCACCGCUGAAACCGAUUAUCUUUUUCCUUAUCUGUUUUCAUAAAUCGUCAAUAAUCUGCGAAGAUGGUAGCUGUUUAUUGGUGUCUUGAAGGCUGUUAGAAAAUGCACGGCUUCCUAUCACAAAAGGCGUAUGUUUUAAAGUUGUUCCUAAAAAUGCUCCAAAGAUUUUUUUAUCUGUAAAAAGUAUUUAUUUAAACAAUAAACAGCAAGAAUAUAUAUAUUUAUAUGUAUUUUUGUGUAGUUGUGUCAUUUAUCCCUAUUAUC